rnacentral:lncRNA from 14 species
GGGAAAUCAGGGUUCUAUACAUGCAUAGACAGCCCUGCAAAGCUCCUAACCCAUGCAGUGAGAUGCUCAGUCUGAUGUGAGUCCAGGUUUUAACACAUGUUCAACUUUCCUUGCCCUGAACACACCUUUGCUUCUCUCCCCAGGGUACUGCAGCUGGUCACCUCAAGGAUCCUAUACAAGCAAUUUUAGAGCUUAUUCAAGCUUCUGAUUCUGAGGGGAUGAAAAUAGCCCUUUUGCCCAUUCUCAGAGAAUUUCCUGAUCUAAGGAAGGAACAUCUGAGUGCAAUGCUGAACAUCAAAGUUUCGCUCAACCGGAAGGACAGAGCUGCUCUCUUGGAGGCGUUUCAUGAUAAUUGCAGGGAGUCGAAACCAGAAGUGAACUUGCUUUUUGCAGAUAUAGAAGUGAAACCUGGAAAAUAUGGACUCUGUGCCUGCCUCUGCUGUUAGCAAAGAUAACUCCAAGUUGAGAUCCUGUCCACUCCCCCUGACCACCACGCUUGCAGUCCCUGGAUCUCUCAUGAACAUCCUCUGCAUUUCAGCAUCCAAACCAUGAAGAAACCUGGCUUAGACUAGUCCCACGGACUCACACUCAACACCCCAUGAAGUUUUGCUCUGAUCAUGGAUAUCCAUCCAGUUUCACAUCUGCUCCCAGAAGCUUUGUAAGAGGAGAUCCCCAGCGCAAGGGCUGUACUCCCAGAGACCUGUAGCAUUCCCCAGACCUGCACCAAGCCAUGGCUAGCAGCGACAUCCCUCCUGCUCCCCUGCCUCAUCCCUGCUGAGACUGUCAGGGGCAGCACUUGACACUGGCAGAAACCACAGUUCCUACCGCAUUUAUUUACAUGAACGAUGAUGGUGUCAGCAACCUUACUGAAGAGUCCCAAAAUCUGCAGCUGCUCUGCUUUCAGGCAGGAGGUACUCUUGUCAUGGACAGAAAAGAUUUAUGCAGAACAAAUUU